rnacentral:rRNA from 1 species
GACGAACGCUGGCGGCGUGCUUAACACAUGCAAGUCGAACGGAAAGGCCCUGCUUUUGUGGGGUGCUCGAGUGGCGAACGGGUGAGUAACACGUGAGUAACCUGCCCUUGACUUUGGGAUAACUUCAGGAAACUGGGGCUAAUACCGGAUAGGAGCUCCUGCUGCAUGGUGGGGGUUGGAAAGUUUCGACGGUUGGGGAUGGACUCGCGGCUUAUCAGCUUGUUGGUGGGGUAGUGGCUUACCAAGGCUUUGACGGGUAGCCGGCCUGAGAGAGUGACCGGCCACAUUGGGACUGAGAUACGGCCCAGACUCCUACGGGAGGCAGCAGUGGGGAAUAUUGCACAAUGGGCGGAAGCCUGAUGCAGCAACGCCGCGUGCGGGAUGACGGCCUUCGGGUUGUAAACCGCUUUCGCCUGUGACGAAGCGUGAGUGACGGUAAUGGGUAAAGAAGCACCGGCUAACUACGUG